GCCCAGACUCCUACGGGAGGCAGCAGUGGGGAAUAUUGGGCAAUGGGCGAAAGCCUGACCCAGCAACGCCGCGUGAAGGAAGAAGGCUUUCGGGUUGUAAACUUCUUUUCUCGGGGACGAACAGAUGACGGUACCUGAGGAAUAAGCCACGGCUAACUACGUGCCAGCAGCCGCGGUAAUACGUAGGUGGCAAGCGUUAUCCGGAUUUACUGGGUGUAAAGGGCGUGUAGGCGGGGACGCAAGUCAGAUGUGAAAACCACGGGCUCAACCUGUGGCCUGCAUUUGAAACUGUGUUUCUUGAGUACUGGAGAGGCAGACGGAAUUCCUAGUGUAGCGGUGAAAUGCGUAGAUAUUAGGGGGAACACCAGUGGCGAAGGCGGUCUGCUGGACAGCAACUGACGCUGAGGCGCGAAAGCGUGGGGAGCAAACAGGAUUAGAUACCCCGGUAAA
rnacentral:rRNA from 1 species